UACGUAGGGUGCGAGCGUUAAUCGGAAUUACUGGGCGUAAAGCGUGCGCAGGCGGUUGUGCAAGACCGAUGUGAAAUCCCCGGGCUUAACCUGGGAAUGGCAUUGGUGACUGCACGGCUAGAGUGUGUCAGAGGGGGGUAGAAUUCCACGUGUAGCAGUGAAAUGCGUAGAUAUGCGGAGGAACACCGAUGGCGAAGGCAAUCCCCUGGACCUGUACUGACGCUCAUGCACGAAAGCGUGGGGGAGCAAACAGG
rnacentral:rRNA from 1 species